UGGUAAAACAGUUUUUUUUUUUAAUUUGACUUUUGAAUCUUUGUUUGCAGGUGUUUGAAUCACAAUGUCAAAAUAGUGUGUAAAUUUGAUUGUUAGAUCAUUCCACAUAAUUUGCAGAUCGAACAUGUUAUAGUUUGUUGUUGAUGAUGAUUUACAAAGGCACUCUUUGGCGUUUCUCUGGAGCUGCAAAUAGAAGACAAACAAACCGACAAAGGUUUCUUGGAUGAGCAGUAAUGUAACUCAGUGCAAAGUUGCUGAAGUAAAGUUGCCUUUUUGGUUGUACAACUUCAAAUUUUCAGAAAAUCAAAGAAGAUGGAAAGGCAUGAAAUAAAAUCUAAAGAAAGAGAGUCUUUCUUCAUACCAAAACUUUUAAAAGAGGUUUAGGAAGCUCGUCAACUCGAACCGGUGCGAAGGGCUCGUUUGGAUUUGGUUGAUUGAUGAACAAGUUAGAUGGGGUAUUUCUCAUCUCCUCCUGAAAUGUUUCCAAAUUUUAAGUAAAUUCAUGUAUACAUUCUACAAAAUUAGGUUUAGAUGAUCAUAGUUUACAGUUUUAAGAAAAUAAAAUCCUUGAGAAUUGAAC
rnacentral:lncRNA from 1 species